UCGAGAAUUUUUCUCAAUGGGGGAAACCCUGAAGGAGCGACGCCGCGUGGAGGAUGAAGGUUUUCGGAUUGUAAACUCCUGCCAUUUGGGAACAAACCUUUCAUUUAACUGAUGAAAGACUGAUAGUACCAGAAGAGGAAGAGACGGCUAACUCUGUGCCAGCAGCCGCGGUAAUACAGAGGUCUCAACCGUUGUUCGGAUUCAUUGGGCGUAAAGGGUGCGUAGGCGGUCGCGCAAGUCGGAUGUGAAAUCUCGAGGCUCAACCUCGAAACUGCAUUCGAUACUGCGUGGCUAGAGUGCUGGAGGGGAGACUGGAAUUUACGGUGUAGCAGUGAAAUGCGUAGAUAUCGUAAGGAAGACCAGUGGCGAAGGCGAGUCUCUGGACAGCAACUGACGCUGAGGCACGAAGGCCAGGGGAGCAAAC
rnacentral:rRNA from 1 species